UACGUAGGAUCCUAGCGUUAUCCGGAUUUACUGGGCGUAAAGGGUGCGCAGGCGGACUUGUAAGUCAGGGGUGAAAUCUCAUCGCUUAACGGUGAAACUGCCUUUGAUACUAUAAGUCUUGAGUUUGGUAGAGAUCCGUGGAAUUCCGAGUGUAGCAGUGAAAUGUGUAGAUAUUCGGAAGAACACCAGUGGCGAAGGCAGCGGAUUGGGCCAAUACUGACGCUCAGGCACGAAAGCAUGGGGAUCAAACAGG
rnacentral:rRNA from 1 species